GUUCCUUUCAACUACAACUAGUGACCUCUCAACUCUUAAAUGUUCCACCCAACCAGCUUAAUUUCAUCCCAUCUCAUCCCAUAUCCCAUCAUAUAAAUAUAUAUAAAUAAAUAUUUCAUGAGAGAUUAUUAUGUGAAAACAACACACUGGACAUACUUAGUGAAAUGUAAUAAUAAUAAUAAUAAUUCUUUACCAAAACAUUAUGACUAAUAUAGCAUGAGUUGGAUUGGACUAUUGGAGUGGAGACCACAUAAUGUUGUUAUAUCACAAAUAAUUAAUCUUUCCAUCAGGUCCGCAGUUGCAAAUAUUUAUAUCUAUGUACAGACUGAUCAAAUCAAAGGGUGGUCUUAAUUAGUGUUUGAUAUAUAUGCCAUUCAUUCUUCACAAAAAGGUUUAUGUGUGAGAAAGUAGUACACACAGACAAGAGUAUAACAGGAGGAGAGAGGCAUGUGGAUCGUUGAAUCACUGGGUCAUGAAAUGACUGCUCAGAGAUGUCGUAUACCAACGAGACCACACUAUGUUUCAUAUAUAUCCACAAGUAACAAAACACAAUUCUCAAGUACUUUGCCCCAAAAUAAGCCAUAUUACCCAAUUAAGCAAUCUGUUUGUGAAAUUACAACAUCAAGCAUUUUUCCUUUUCAGAAAUUAUUGGGAGUGGCUGGCUCCUCUUCAUGGCUCUAGCUGCAGCAUAUAACCCAAGAGUACUAGUAAUGCUCUUGUCCGAGGCCGGUUCUCGGGAUAUCAAAAAGUCAAAUUCAGUCAAUUGAUGAAAAGACGGGACAAAUUGGUGAAAAAUCGGAAAAAUCUGCUCACUCGGUGUCAGUAGUCGCGACUAGCCAGAAGCCAGGUCGCGACCCUUUUCUUUGGUUGCGACCAUGGUCGCGACUUGGGAGAUUUGGCAGAAACUCAGUUUUUUGAGUUUUGCCUGUAGUCGCGACCAGCCUUUAAGUUGGUCGCGACCAGGUACGAAAAAAUGCAGUUUUGACCUAAUUCAGAUUUUUUUCUCAAUUGGAGGCACACCUUUCAUUCCUAUAUAAGGAAUACGACUCAGAAGGUCAAACUAAGCAAGAACAGACCUGAAAAGUGGAUGAAAGAGGAGAGGAAGCGAUCUUGAAGACCCAGAGCGAUAUCACCUUCUAGUUUCUUUCUUUUACCCUUAUUCUUUCUUUUAUGUCUAGUGUUGUUUCAGAAUUAAUUAUGGAUGUUUUUAUUAUUGCUAUGAACUAAAUUUCUCAUUUAGGGAGGAUGAUGAAUGUUGUUUAAAUUUUUGCCUAGUUAAUAAAUAAUUGUCAUUCCUCCA